CGCGGGGUAGAGAAGUGGUCAUCUCACGAGGCCCAUAACCUUGAGAUCGCUGGUUCGAAUCCAGCCCCCGCAA
rnacentral:tRNA from 1 species